AACGAACGCUGGCGGCAGGCUUAACACAUGCAAGUCGAACGGGUGCAGCAAUGCAUCAGUGGCAGACGGGUGAGUAACACGUGGGAACCUUCCUAGGGGUACGGAACAACUCAGGGAAACUUGAGCUAAUACCGUAUACGUCCGUGAGGAGAAAGAUUUAUCGCCCUUAGACGGGCCCGCGUCGGAUUAGCUAGUUGGUGGGGUAAUGGCCUACCAAGGCGACGAUCCGUAGCUGAUCUUAGAGGAUGAUCAGCCACACUGGGACUGAGACACGGCCCAGACUCCUACGGGAGGCAGCAGUGGGGAAUCUUGGACAAUGGGCGCAAGCCUGAUCCAGCCAUGCCGCGUGAGUGAAGAAGGUCUUCGGAUUGUAAAGCUCUUUUGCCAGGGACGAUAAUGACGGUACCUGGAGAAUAAGCCCCGGCGAACUUCGUGCCAGCAGCAGCCGCGGUAA
rnacentral:rRNA from 1 species